rnacentral:rRNA from 1 species
AUACGGAGGGUCCGAGCGUUAUCCGGAAUCAUUGGGUUUAAAGGGUCCGUAGGCGGGAAUCUAAGUCAGUGGUGAAAUCUUGCAGCUCAACUGUAAAAUUGCCAUUGAUACUGGAUUUCUUGAAUUAGUGUGAAGUGGUUAGAAUGUGUAGUGUAGCGGUGAAAUGCAUAGAUAUUACACAGAAUACCAAUUGCGAAGGCAGAUCACUAACACUAUAUUGACGCUAAGGGACGAAAGCGUGGGGAGCGAACAGGAUUAGAUACCCUGGUAGUCC